GGACUACCGGGGUAUCUAAUCCUGUUCGCUCCCCACGCUUUCGCUCCUCAGCGUCAAUAUCGGCCCAGAGACCCGCCUUCGCCACCGGUGUUCCUCCUGAUAUCUGCGCAUUUCACCGCUACACCAGGAAUUCCAGUCUCCCCUACCGAAUUCUAGCUUGCCCGUAUCGGCUGCAGGCCCGGGGUUGAGCCCCAGGUUUUCACAGCCGACGCGACAAGCCGCCUACGAGCUCUUUACGCCCAAUAAUUCCGGACAACGCUUGCACCCUACGUAUUACCGCGGCUGCUGGCAC
rnacentral:rRNA from 1 species